rnacentral:rRNA from 1 species
UUUCCGUAGGUGAACCUGCGGAAGGAUCAUUGUCGAAACUUGCAAAAGCAGAAUGCGAACACGUUUAACCACAAUUGGAUUGCGGCGGAGGAGAACCCUCACGUCGCAUUUCAUUCCCGCACGUGGGCGCUUUGCGGGCUAACGAACCCCGGCGCGGCAUGUGCCAAGGAAAAUUCAUAGAAGCGUCCUCCUCCCAUCGCCCCGUUUACGGUGAAAGAGGGGGAUGUCUGUCAAUGUAAAAACGACUCUCGGCAACGGAUAUCUUGGCUCUCGCAUCGAUGAAGAACGUAGCGAAAUGCGAUACUUGGUGUGAAUUGCAGAAUCCCGUGAACCAUCGAGUCUUUGAACGCAAGUUGCGCCCGAAGCCAUUUGGCUAAGGGCACGUCUGCCUGGGCGUCACGCAUUGCGUUGCUCCCUUCCUGUUCCCGGACAAUGGCCUCCCGUGUGCAACGCCGUGCGGUUGGCCCAAAUUUGAUCCUGCGGCGACUCCCGUCACGACCAUUGGUGGUUGAACGCUCAACUCUUGUGCUGUUGUGUCGGACGCCGUACUUUGGGCAUUGUCGUAGACCCAAUGGUGCGAGCUAUUCGUGCUUCCGACCGCGACCCCAGGUCAGGCGGGAUUACCCGCUGAGUUUAA